UUCGUCAUGAUCAAAACAAUAGAAUUGAAUAAUACUAAUUGAUUUCCCUCUGAUGUUCGUUCAGCUGCCGAUUCAUAUUUUUUCACAUGAAUUUAAAUUUUCCCAGGUAAUUGGAGGAUAUUUCUCAAAAGGAGGAUGUCCCAGAACUUCACGAAUCGAUAUGGGCACUGAAAAUGAAGUAAUGGAGAGGAUAUAAAAAGUCUUUAAUGAAAGUGAUCUUGACCAAGUAUGUUUUGAAUGGAGUAUUCAUAGAAUACGGAAAACAAGAAAUGCUAUUGCUCCAGCAGGGAGACCAAGUAUAUUGUAUGCCAUGCCUUCCCUUUAUGGAGUUACAAAUCACCUCAUCAAGAUUCCAUCAUUCGCGUUUAAACAUUUUUCGUCGGAGUGUACAUAUCCCCGGAUAGCCUGUGAUGAAGAUUUUUGGAAAUUAUGUUCAAUUUUUUUGAAAAAAAUAAUUACACAAGGUCCUUAGAUUCUUAUGCCACAAUUGAUUCAUACAUUAACCUGAGAAGUGAAUUAAUUAUGUUAUCUGAAUAAAUUUUAGAUUGAUAUUA